AGACUUUGUCGAUACAAGAUGGGUGGGCAGAAAAAUUCAAAACUAAACCUUGCUUCCAAGCUCCACUCCAUCUUCCUCAGAUUCGUUGUCUUUGUUAUGGAUUUGAAUCGGCUUAUAAGUAUACAGCUUAGCGCAACAGAUGUAGUAAACAAGAUU